rnacentral:rRNA from 1 species
GGUUUCUUGUAAUGUAUUUAAGAGAUUUAACCUGCCCACUGAAAUAUUUUUGAAGGGCCGCAGUAUUUUGACUGUGCAAAGGUAGCAUAAUCAUUAGUCUUUUAAUUGAAGGCUGGUAUGAAUGGUUGGAUGAGGUAAAUACUGUUUUAUAUUUAUUUAUUUGAAUUUAGAUUUUAAGUAAAAAGACUUAAAUGUUAUUAAGGGACGAGAAGACCCUAUAGAGUUUAAUAAAUGUAAUUAUUAAUUGAGUUAAUAAAGAAUUUUUGAUUAUUAUAAAGUUUAUUUAAUUGGGGUGAUUAGAAGAUAAAUUAACUCUUCUUUAAAUUUAAUAAUAUAAUUAGUUAGAUGAUCCAUAUUUAAUGAUUAAAAGAUUAAAUUACCUUAGGGAUAACAGCAUAAUUUUUUUUGAGAGUUCAUAUUGAAAAAAAAGAUUGUGACCUCGAUGUUGGAUUAAGAUUAGUUUUAAAUGUAGAUGUUUAUAGACUAGGUCUGUUCGACCUUUUAAAUCUUACA